UACGGAGGGCGUGACCGUUACCCGGAUUUACUGGGGGUAAAGGAGGUGUAGGCGGUCUGGGGCGUCCCAUGUGAAAGGCCACGGCUCAACCGUGGAGGAGCGUGGGAUACGCUCAGGCUAGACGGUGGGAGAGGGUGGUGGAAUUCCCGGAGUAGCGGUGAAAUGCGCAGAUACCGGGAGGAACGCCGAUGGCGAAGGCAGCCACCUGGUUCACUGGAGACGUUGAGGCGCGAAAGCGUGGGGAGCAAACAGG
rnacentral:rRNA from 1 species